UUUUAAAUGUAAAGAACUAAUUUAUCCCCCUCCCCCAACACCCUGCUUUAUUUUGGAAUAGUCUAUACUUUCAUUGCUUUUAGUUAUCAUUUAAGUUCUUUUCCUUUUUCUUUUUCUUCUCCUUCUUCUUCUUUUUUUAAAGAUUUAUUUAUUUAUUAUAUGUGAGUACACUGUAGCUGUCUUCAGAUACCCCAGAAGAGGGCGUCAGAUCUCAUUACUGAUGGUUGUGAGCCACCAUGUGGUUGCUGGGAUUUGAACUAAGGACUUUCAGAAGAGCAGUGAGUGCUCUUAACUGAAAUUAUUUUUCCAAAAAAAAAAAAAAAAAAAGAAAAGAAAAGAAAGAAAAAGAACCUUCCUUAUCUUAGUCUAUUUGGGUAUAGAAAUAAUUUCAAUUUCCCUCUGGUUUACCAUUUAAUUGCAAAAUAGUUUCUAGAUGAAGCAUAAGACCAGUCAAUUUUCUGAUUUUUCUUCUGAAUUUCUAAGUGUCUUUUGAUGUAUCUCAAUAAAAUAAUGUAAGCCAUCAUUUAAAGCAUUUUAUUAACAUGCAGUAAUUGUAUGUAUUUAUGAUGUUCAUUGUGGCAUUUCAACAUGUGUGUACGUUACGAACUGAACAAACCAGGGUAAGUUAGCAAUUCUGUCUCUCUAUUUCUUUGUUUAGAGCCUUUGGCUCUCACGUCUUUCUCAGAGCUCUGAAGUAGUUCAUUGAGAAUUUUAAUAGGCUCAUGUUCUAUGGGAUGUGUCUUAGUUACUGUUCUGCUACUGCAAGGAGACGACAGCAUGACCAGGCAACUUCUGUAAAAGAAGCAUUUAACUGGGAGUUUGCUUAUAGUUUCAGAGUGUCAGUCCACGGUUGUCAUGGAAUAGACAGGCUUGGCACUGGAGCAGUAGGUGAGAACUUUCCAUCCUGAUCUGCAGGCAGCAGGCAGAGGGAGCAGGACUGGUCCUGGUGUGGGCUUUUGAAACCUCAAAGCCCAGUCCCAGAAGCGUAUCUCCUCCAGCAAGACCACACCUUCUCUAACAAGCACACCCCCACCAGUCCUUCCCAGACAGUUUCACUAAGUGGGAGCAAGCAUUGCACAUGUGGGCCUGUGGGAGCCAUUCUCAUUCAGACCCUUCCAUCUCACUAGUUUGGUAGUCACCCAGCUCCUCUCUUUUCUCCUCUCAGUUCGACAGAAGCAUAAGAGUGAUUGCAAAUGUAUGUGUUGGUUAUACCAGAGCACAGGGUUCCCCAAGUCUCCUUUUCCUAGAGAGCAUUGAGCUAUUAGAGAGUUGCAGGAGGCAGAAGAAGGCAAGGUUUACGUUAAUGCUUUCCAAUGAUAGCAGUGUUCUCUUGCUCAGCUUGGUUGAUUUCCUCAAAUUUCAGUUUCCUUGUUUCUUAAAAGGUGUGGUUAAUACUUGUCUUUUCUGGGAGAUUUAUGUAAGAGCAUAUUUACAGGAAGGCUCUCAUCUUCCCUUCCUCCUUUUCUCUUUCCUUCUUUCCUUUCCCCGUCUCUUCUUCCUGUCUGUCUGUCAGUCAGUCUGUCUGCUUAGUGGUAUGUUCUCCUACUGUUCAGGCUGGCCUGGGACUCACUGUGUGUAGACAGAUUAGCAGUCCUUUUUCCUCACCCCUCUUUAGUACUGGGAUUACAAACACGAGUCACUGUGCUCAGAAGAGAGUGAUUCUAAACUAGAAUCAAAACUAGGAAAACUGGUGAGAGUCACUGGAGCGCUGAUGUCGUAGCCUAAGGUCUGAGGAGACUUUGCCCCAUGGGAGAAAGAGGGAGAGUUAUUUAGGCCCAGAGUGAAGAAGCCGGGAGAGCUGCAGGAAGGGAUCUGUGUCCAGGGUGAGCACGUGGACCCCAGUGUUAUCAGCAGCAGAUUGGAAAGCUUGGGGAACCACCCAAGGCCAGUGCUCAUAAAACCUAUUUGCUUCUGAAUAGAAGAAUCUGGAAAGAGUGAGGGUGAAUGGAAUGGAGGCCGCAGAGGCCCGCCCUUGCAUGUAAUUUAAGGUUAACAACAAGGAAUUCAGCAGUUUAUCACCUACUGACUGAACUACACUGAAAGGCGAGGUUUGACCUCUGCUGCUGUUGGAGUGGAUUUGCUCCUUUAGAUCCACAGACCAUUUUCAGAGACUACCGGAGGGCUGCAUGUUUCCCAGAAGUGGCAGUUACAUUAAGUGCAUUUUCAUCGUGCUAUCAGCUUUGGGGUGUCGGCCUUGAGUGUUCCCUCACUCCCUCACUCCCUCACUCCCUCUCAUCUUUGAUCUCAGUGCUUCUCACUGCUGCUGAGUCAGGAGCUCACACAUACCUGGCUUGUCUUACACUGUCGCAAGCCCAGCUUUCUGUCCGCCAUUUUUGCUGUCUUUCAAGAAGGCAGAAGACAUGCACCUAAUGAAGCUGUCUUCUAGUUAGAGGGUGGCCUUAAGUCUACUUUUCAAAAUAAGCCACUUCUAGGCGUCAGUACUUCACUAAUAGCAAACCAUUAUUUUGACAUAGCUUAAAACGUGUCAGUGUGUCACACUAUGAGGCUGUAACGUGUUUAUGCGAUUGUUUCAGUUUCCACUGAUGCUCAGUUUUAUUAGCAUCUGUGUCAUGCUUUUGCUUUUUAUUUAAUGCUUCUUUACAGUUUCGGUUGUAAGAGCUUGCUCUUCUUUAUUUUUACUCUGUGUUUCUGAUUCUGUGGCCUUGGGAUUCUAGGAACUCAGUGGAUAUUUGUUGAACAUUUACCAAGAGCAGUGGUCCUCAACUUUCCUAACGCUGUGACCCUUUAGUAACAGUCCUCAUGUUGUGGUGACCCCAACCAUAAAGUUAUUUCAUUGCUAUUCAUAACUAUAAUUUGCCUGCUGUUUGAGUUGCAAUGUAAAUAUCUGAUAUGCAGGAUAUCUGGUACACAACCCACAGGUUGAGAACUGCUGACUUAAAAGAAAUGUCUCACGCAUUGUAAUAUUAAUUGACAUAAUUUAUGUGAAGUGGAUCAGGAGAGUAUUUUUUGGUUCAUAGUUUUGCCUGGUGUGUGUUUCUGGGUCCUUUUACUUUGGGAAUCAGACUGCGUUAGGACUUACUGACUCAGAAGGCAGUGCUGUUCAGAAGUGAAGGUGUUCAGAAGUGAAGGCUUGG
rnacentral:lncRNA from 1 species